GAGGAGUUGGUACAAAACUGGUGCUCUUGAGCUUGAGUGGAUUUGUUACUAUAACAGAUUCAUUUUCAGCAUUAAUUUUAUUUUUUUUAUAUCAGUAAGAGUUAACAUGGGAUGUGUAACCAGCAUAAAAAGCCAAACACUUAAGUGCUAAUUAUUUUUCAAAGAAAAAAUUUUUUUCAUUGAGAUACAACAAAAUAAUGUAAGAUGUUUCUUCUGCACUUAAUAUAAAACCAACUUCUUUAAGUUUCUGUAUACAAUGUGUGUCCAUUUAUAAUGUUAGUAGCUAACCUCUCCUGUUGUUUCUUUAUUCAGACUUAUACAGAUUCCCUUUUCCUCUGAGGAGUGUAAUUAUGAGAAUCAGGAAUAAUAUUUUCAAAUUGUCACAUAAAUAUUUCCGACAUUCCACACUCUAUGGAUUUUGUACACACACAACUCUGACCUUCUUCUGGACUUUAGGAUCAUACUUCCAAGGAGGCUAGGGAGAAGAUGAAUUGAUGAAUAUGUAAAGCAGUGAACAGUUCAUUGGGGAUGCACGUUUUCAUAAAAGGACACAUCCCUUCUCCUUACAUUGAGCAAGGUACAAUGCCUAGCACACUUAUCUACCAAGGUCCCAAGCAUUGAUCCAGGAUAUGAAAGCCACUAUUAAGAUGUUCUGGAGGAUGAGACAUGGGAACAUCCUAGCCCAGCUAUCACCUGACUGCAAUGGUAUGACAGACUUCAAGUGAAACCAGAAGAACUGCCCAGGGUCUCGAAAGGGAUAAAAAAGAAGGGCAGGAGAUAUCAGAAGGGCUACUUUUCCCAGAAGAAAAAAAAAAAAGCUAUUUUGGCUUCAGAAACCAAAUAAUGGAAAAGUGAAGACAAUUCUAUAGUACUCUAGCAAAUACAGAAACGCUGCACUUGCAGGCAACAGAUGGGAAGGCAGUUAGUGAA